GCACUAUUGGAUGAGCCUAUGUCGGAUUAGUUAGUUGGUGGGGUAAAGGCCUACCAAGGCAGCGAUCCGUAGCUGGUCUUAGAGGAUGAUCAGCCACAUCGGGACUGAGACACGGCCCGAACUCCUACGGGAGGCAGCAGUGGGGAAUAUUGCACAAUGGGCGCAAGCCUGAUGCAGCUAUGCCGCGUGUGUGAAGAAGGCCUUAGGGUUGUAAAGCACUUUCAGUAGUGAGGAAAAGUGUUGCGUUAAUAGCGCAAUGCUGUGACGUUAGCUACAGAAGAAGGACCGGCAAACUCCGUG
rnacentral:rRNA from 1 species